rnacentral:rRNA from 1 species
AUUGAACGCUGGCGGCAUGCCUUACACAUGCAAGUCGAACGGCAGCAUGGAGAGCUUGCUCUCUGAUGGCGAGUGGCGAACGGGUGAGUAAUGCAUCGGAACGUACCCAGUCGUGGGGGAUAACGUAGCGAAAGUUACGCUAAUACCGCAUACGUCCUGAGGGAGAAAGCGGGGGACCGAAAGGCCUCGCGCGAUUGGAGCGGCCGAUGUCGGAUUAGCUAGUUGGUAGGGUAAAGGCCUACCAAGGCGACGAUCCGUAGCGGGUCUGAGAGGAUGAUCCGCCACACUGGGACUGAGACACGGCCCAGACUCCUACGGGAGGCAGCAGUGGGGAAUUUUGGACAAUGGGGGCAACCCUGAUCCAGCCAUGCCGCGUGAGUGAAGAAGGCC